CCUACGGGAUGCAGCAGUGAGGAAUAUUGGUCAAUGGGAGAGAUCCUGAACCAGCCAAGCCGCGUGAGGGAAGACGGCCCUAUGGGUUGUAAACCUCUUUUGUCGGAGAACAAAACCCGGGACGAGUCCCGGACUGCGUGUAUCCGAAGAAAAAGCAUCGGCUAACUCCGUGCCAGCAGCCGCGGUAAUACGGAGGAUGCGAGCGUUAUCCGGAUGUAUUGGGUUUAAAGGGUGCGUAGGCGGUCUGUUAAGUCAGCGGUAAAAUUGCGGGGCUCAACCCCGUCGAGCCGUUGAAACUGGCAGACUUGCGUUGGCGAGAAGUACGCGGAAUGCGCGGUGUAGCGGUGAAAGUCAUAGAUAUCGCGCAGAACUCCGAUUGCGAAGGCAGCGUACCGGCGCCAGACUGACGCUGAGGCACGAAAGCGUGGGGAUCGAACAGGAUUAGAUACCCCGGUAGUC
rnacentral:rRNA from 1 species